rnacentral:rRNA from 1 species
UACGGGAGGCAGCAGUGGGGAAUAUUGCACAAUGGGCGCAAGCCUGAUGCAGCCAUGCCGCGUGUAUGAAGAAGGCCUUCGGGUUGUAAAGUACUUUCAGUCGUGAGGAAGGUGUUAAGGUUAAUAACCUUAGCAAUUGACGUUAGCGACAGAAGAAGCACCGGCUAACUCCGUGCCAGCAGCCGCGGUAAUACGGAGGGUGCGAGCGUUAAUCGGAAUUACUGGGCGUAAAGGGCACGCAGGCGGUUAAUUAAGUUGGAUGUGAAAUCCCCGGGCUUAACCUGGGAAUGGCAUUCAAGACUGGUUAGCUAGAGUCUUGUAGAGGGGGUAGAAUUCCAUGUGUAGCGGUGAAAUGCGUAGAGAUGUGGAGGAAUACCGGUGGCGAAGGCGGCCCCGUGGACAAAGACUGACGCUCAUGUGCGAAAGCGUGGAGAGCAAACAGGAUAGGAUACC